GGAGAUUACAAACAGUUCACACAGGACUCCUGGAAGGAUCUCAUUCUGUAUUAUGAAUAUUUUCAUGCAGAUAGUGGGCGAGGAUGUGGGGCAAGGUAAAAUAAUACAGGUCUUAUCAUUGUCUGGGGCACAGUGAAGAUAAAUACAAAGAAAAAGACUAUGGAUUUAUGUUUUGGAGACAAAUCUUUCAAAAUACUUAUGCUAAAAUUUGUACAGUGGAACAAUUAUUUGUGUGCAGUUAGCUGUUGUACUAUGAAUUCGGUGGUUCCUGUAAAUUUUGUCAAAAUAAUAUUCCAUUUUUUUCCGUAUUUUACUUAUAAAUGGACUUAGUUUUUCUGCCAGGAAACAUUACAUUCACUCUGUGGUUAAAGUUUUUUUUAAAUUUUAAUAACCUUCUCAAACUAUCUUAUUCUUCUCAUAUAUUUUAUGAUGGUAUGAUACUAAACCCCUAACGGGAAGGAUUGUGCCUGAUGUUCAUAUGAUGAAAUCAUAAUCUUUCAGUCAGAUUAAUUGAAGUCUGGAGCUGGCAUGUCAAUUAACUGCUAGUAGUCUGUUGUAAUUUAUGUAUUAUUGUCAUUUUGUUUAUUUUCUUUGAUUACAUCUUCUGACAUCAGACUCGGACUUCUCUUGAACUGAAUUUUAAUGUGCAUAUUGUUAUGCGUUUACUUUUCUACAUUGGCUAGAGGUAUAGGGGGAGGGUUGAGAUCUCACAAACAUGCUUAACCUCGCCGCAUUUUUGCGCCUGUCCCAAGUCAGGAGCCUCUGGCCUUUGUUAGUCUUGUAUUAUUUUAAUUUUAGUUUCUUGUGUACAAUUUGGAAAUUAGUAUGGCGUUCAUUAUCACUGAACUAGUAUAUAUUUGUUUAGGGGCCAGCUGAAGGACACCUCCGGGUGCGGGAAUUUCUUGCUACAUUGAAGACCUGUUGGUGACCUUCUGCUGUUGUUUUUUUCUAUGGUCGGGUUGUGGUCUCUUUGGCACAUUCCCCAUUUCCAUUCUCAAUUUUAUCCUGGGUUUGUACCAAACUUAGACAGAAGCUAUUAUGACCAUUUUCAAAAAAAAUAAUGUGAAAAUUUGGUAUUGUUUAUGUCUGUAUAUUAUAUUUGUUCAGCAUCUACCUUGUUUAAGGAAACCACCAAAAAAAAGACUAUAUGGAUAAUAGCUUUUUAUAAAAUUUGAGAUUCUUUACCUCAACAUGUUGAAAAAUUCAAUAAAUGGUCAAUUAAUGAACUACUGAAAUCUAUAUUGUAGCUUGAUAUGAGAUAUGAAAACACCUUCAGCAGAGGCUAAUUCAGGGGGCAAUAAUUUGGUUGCUUAUUUAGGGAAUCACUGAAGCGUGACUGCAGCGGGCCCCCUCUUAGGCAGUCAGUUGGCCCCACUUAUGAAAAUGUCUGGAUCUGGCACUGUUUGGAGUUGUUUGUUAAACUCUAAAGACCUCUAAAAUAUCAGGAAUCUAUUGAAUAGAAUUGGUAAAGUUAUAAUUUUGCAUCAGAUUUAUUGAUAUUUCUGACUUUUUUUGCAGAUGUAUCUCCUAUUUUCAAUGCAAACCUCUAUAGGAAUUUUAAAUUGUGAAUUUAUGGGACUUUUUUCUGUUUAUAUUUGGGGUAUAAUGCUUACAUUAAAACUUACUUUCUUUAAGAUUAGGGUAUAAUUUAUGCUAGAACUUGACUAAUAAAAGAAACUAAUUUACACAGAAAGAGCAGCAUUUUCGCCAUCCUGUGUUUUAAACUUCCCUUAUGUAACCAAUCGACACAUGUCAACAAAAUAUUGAGCUUGCUACUACAUGUAAGAAGUGUGUGCUUUAUUCUUACUAACCAAUAUGGAUAAAAAUAGAAAAAGGUACUUGUCAAUGUCUUUAAAUCAUAAAAAGUAGGGGAAAUCUUAUGUUGUAAAUUGUUUAGAAAUUCAAGAUCUGCCAUACUUCAUAAAAAGAUAAACAUAAGUAAUUGCAAUAAAUUUGACAAUAAAUAUUAAAGUGACAUAUUUCUCCAGGUGGCCAAUUCAAGUUUUUGGGAGCCCUUUGUUUGUCUGCCAAGUGACAAACAUUUUGGCUAUGGUUGUAUCAAAUAAAUCAUUGAGAUUUAAGUUAAAAGAAAUAUUACCUGCUUUAUACAAUUAAUAUUUCCUAAAACGCUUUUUUGCUUUUUUUAUUUCAGUCACCAGACAGGAUGGACAGCUCUGAUUACAGAAAUAUCAUACAAACUUCACAGUUGAAGGGAAGGCAGUUAUAUCCCCUCAGAGACAGUUUGUUGUCUCUUAGUUCAAAUAUACUUCUGAAAGCCACGAAGUUACAGAUGGUGGAUGGAUGAAUAGUGUGGACAAGUUCCAACCAUCGCUUAACAUAUGCUGCAUAUUUAUAUAUACCCAGCUUUAUACAGACUGGCAUAAUAUGACUGGUUUAAAACAAGCUAUCUUACACAUUAUACUAGUCUAUAGAAUGUCGUAUCGUUCUGUAUUAAUAAUUUUAAAGCCUACAAGAUUUUUCCAUUUGCCUAAAUGUGAUAAAGUCUUAGUAGAAAAAUACAUAAAGGAUGAGCCUCAAUAAAAAAGAUGCAACUGUUAUGUCUAUAGAUGAAAAGCAAAUUAUUAACCCCGAAUAUUCUCUCUUUCUUCUUUAUGAAUAUCUUCUAUCUGCUUUUGCAAGGGCCUGCAGUCCUAACACUGAAAUGUUUCCAGGAAUUCUGGAUGUUGUUUAGUGCUUUGUAUAAGUGGUAGCCUUCAGCAGUCAGUUCCGUUUUAUCAAGAUUAUUCAUCCUCUAUGCAUUCAGGCAUGAAAAGAGAGGUGAAGGAUACCAAACGGACAUUCAAACAUUCAAGUCGAAGACAAACCAACAAGGCAAUGACUAUAAAAACAGUACAUCAAACAACAUAGAAGAUCAAAGACUGAGCAACACAAACCCCACCAAAAACUAAGGGUGAUCUCUCUGGAGGGUUAAGCAGAUUCAGCUCCAUAUGUGCAAUUGUAGAUCAACUCAAUAUGAAAACUGAGUAAUUUGAUUAACCAAUGGUCUUUUAAAUAAAAAAUCAUCUGUUUGUCAGUAAUCGUCAGAAAUAAACAAGAGACUAUUCUCACCUAGGACAUUAUUUCAUGUGGAGAAGUUGUCGGUCUUGUAGAAAAGCAAAUGAUUGAGAAACAUUAUGCAAGUAGUUACUAAAUUUAACAUUAACUGCUCAGCAGGUUCUCCCUACUUAAAAUCAUAGAAAUAUGGUUUCUUUAUAAUACUGGAAAAUAUUUAAAGUUAGUCUAUCAUGAUUGUUCACACAAAAGUGAAAAGGAAAAGACGAUUUGUCAGUGUUAAAUACUUCAUUUAUUUUGUUUAUCAUUAACAUAUUUUUAUGUUUACAAUAUUUUUAAAUUUUAAACAUGGAAUUUAUCACAUUUA
rnacentral:lncRNA from 1 species